rnacentral:tRNA from 1 species
GAGGCUAUAGCUCAGUGGUAGAGUGCAUGAUUAGCAUGCAUGAGGUCCUGGUUUCAAGCCCCAGUACCUCCA